rnacentral:rRNA from 1 species
CCUACGGGAGGCAGCAGUGAGGAAUAUUGGUCAAUGGGCGAGAGCCUGAACCAGCCAAGUCGCGUGAGGGAGUACUGCCCUAUGGGUUGUAAACCUCUUUUGUCGGGGAGCAAAAGCCGGACGUGUCCGGCUGUGAGAGUACCCGAAGAAAAAGCAUCGGCUAACUCCGUGCGAGCAGCCGCGGUAAUACGGAGGAUGCGAGCGUUAUCCGGAUUUAUUGGGUUUAAAGGGCGUGUAGGCGGGGACGCAGGUCAGAGGUGAAAACCACGGGCUAAACCUGUGGCCUGCAUUUGAAACUGUGUUUCUUGAGUACUGGAGGGGCAGACGGAAUUCCUAGUGUAGCAGUGAAAUGCGUAGAUAUUAGGAGGAACACCAGUGGCGAAGGCAGUCUGCUGGACAGCAACUGACGCUGAGGCGCGAAAGCGUAGGGAGCAAACGGGAUUAGAUACCCCUGUAGUC